rnacentral:misc_RNA from 1 species
AAGUCGUAACAAGGUUUCCGUAGGUGAACCUGCGGAAGGAUCAUUACUGUAACUGUCGAGGGUUGGCCUAGCCGACUCGUCACCGACAUUACCCCUGUUUUGUGUACCUUUGUUUCCUUGACAGGCUCGCCUGUCAAUUGGACCAUUUUCAACCACUUGUAGUAGUAGUUUGUGUCAGUAAAACUAAAUAUUUACAACUUUCAACAACGGAUCUCUUGGUUCUG